rnacentral:rRNA from 1 species
AGGACGAACGCUGGCGGCGUGCUUAACACAUGCAAGUGGAGCGACGAACCAGGGCUUGCCCUGGGGCAGAGCCGCGAACGGGUGAGUAACACGUGGGUUACCUGCCUCGAUGACCGGGACAACCCGAGGAAACUCGGGCUAAUACCGGAUGUGCCCGCAAGGGGAAAGGAAGCUUCGGCCUCCGCAUCGAGAUGGGCCCGCGGCCCAUUAGCUUGUUGGUGAGGUAACGGCUCACCAAGGCUUCGAUGGGUAGCUGGUCUGAGAGGACGAUCAGCCACACUGGGACUGAGACACGGCCCAGACUCCUACGGGAGGCAGCAGUGGGGAAUCUUGCGCAAUGCGCGAAAGCGUGACGCAGCAACGCCGCGUGGGGGAAGAAGGCUUUCGGGUUGUAAACCCCUUUCAGUUUGGGACGAAGCUUCUCCGGUGAAUAGCCGGACGGAGUGACGGUACCUUCACAAGAAGCACCGGCUAACUACGCGCCAGCAGCCGCGGU